rnacentral:rRNA from 1 species
CUUGACACUGAACAUUGAGCCUUGAUGUGUAGGAUAGGUGGGAGGCUUUGAAGCGUGGACGCCAGUCUGCGUGGAGCCAACCUUGAAAUACCACCCUUUAAUGUUUGAUGUUCUAACGUUGGCCCCUGACCGGGGUUGCGGACAGUGUCUGGUGGGUAGUUUGACUGGGGCGGUCUCCUCCCAAAGAGUAACGGAGGAGCACGAAGGUUAGCUAAUCCUGGUCGGACAUCAGGAGGUUAGUGCAAUGGCAUAAGCUA